rnacentral:tRNA from 1 species
GGUUCUGUAGCUCAGUCGGUAGAGCAGGGGACUGAAAAUCCCCGUGUCGCCUGUUCAAUUCAGGUCGGAACCA